rnacentral:rRNA from 1 species
AUUGAACGCUGGCGGCGUGCUUAACACAUGCAAGUCGAACGCGAAAGAGGCUUCGGUCUCGAGUAGAGUGGCGCACGGGUGAGUAACGCGUGGAUAAUCUGCCCUCAUGACCGGGAUAACAGUUGGAAACGGCUGCUAAUACCGGAUACGCUCUGAAUGAACUUUUAGGGGAAAGACGGCCUCUGCUUGCAAGCUGUCGUAUGAGGAUGAGUCCGCGUCCCAUUAGCUGGUUGGCGGGGUAACGGCCCACCAAGGCAACGAUGGGUAGCCGAUCUGAGAGGAUGAUCGGCCACACUGGAACUGAAACACGGUCCAGACUCCUACGGGAGGCAGCAGUGGGGAAUAUUGCGCAAUGGGCGAAAGCCUGACGCAGCGACGCCGCGUGAGGGAUGAAGGUUUUCGGAUCGUAAACCUCUGUCAGAAGGGAAGAAAGUGCGUGGUGCUAAUCAGCCGCGUAUUGACGGUACCUUCAAAGGAAGCACCGGCUAACUCCGUGCCAGCCGCCGCGGUAA